GGCCAUCCGACGUACAUUUUACCUUGCGGUGAGUAAUACCCCGCAUUCCAUAUGAUGCGUAUAUGGGAACUGAUCGAAUAGCGCCAGGCGAGACACCGUGUGCGUCUGGCUUAACGUAUCCAGGUUUUUGCACAACGUUUCCGGAUUGCAGGAAAUGUACAGAAUACGUGGAUAAGCCUGCACCAUUUUUUCCGUUUCGCUGUCCAGACCGCUGCGCGGCGGAUCGACAAAAAUGGUUUCGCACUGAUAGCCCUUCAGGUCGAUCCCCUGCAGGCGGUUAAACUCACGAACGCCAUUCAUCGCCUGGGUAAACUCUUCCGCCGCCAUGCGAAUAAUUUGCACAUUAUCAAUAUGAUUAGCGGCAAUAUUGUACUGUGCGGCAGCGACGGACGGUUUGGCUAUUUCGGUUGCCAGCACGCGGUUAAAAUUGCGCGCCAGCGCUAA
rnacentral:rRNA from 1 species